rnacentral:rRNA from 1 species
UAUUCCCUACGGGACGCAGCAGUAGGGAAUCUUCCACAAUGGGCAAAAGCCUGAUGGAGCAACGCCGCGUGGGUGAAGAAGGUCUUCGGAUCGUAGAGCCCUGUUGUUAGAGAAGAAAGUGCAUGAGAGUAACUGUUCACGUUUCGACGGUAUCUAACCAGAAAGCCACGGCUAACUACGUGCCAGCAGCCGCGGUAAUACGUAGGUGGCAAGCGUUAUCCGGAUUUAUUGGGCGUAAAGGGAACGCAGGCGGUCCU